GUCAUUCUGGCCGAGUGGUCCAAGGCUCUGCGUUCAGGUCGCAGUCCCCUUCGGAGCGCCCCGGUUCGAAUCCUGCGGAUGACA
rnacentral:tRNA from 1 species